rnacentral:rRNA from 1 species
AGUGAACGCUGGCGGUAGGCCUAACACAUGCAAGUCGAACGGCAGCACAGUAAGAGCUUGCUCUUACGGGUGGCGAGUGGCGGACGGGUGAGGAAUACAUCGGAAUCUACUUUUUCGUGGGGGAUAACGUAGGGAAACUUACGCUAAUACCGCAUACGACCUACGGGUGAAAGCAGGGGAUCUUCGGACCUUGCGCGAUUGAAUGAGCCGAUGUCGGAUUAGCUAGUUGGCGGGGUAAAGGCCCACCAAGGCGACGAUCCGUAGCUGGUCUGAGAGGAUGAUCAGCCACACUGGAACUGAGGCACGGUCCAGACUCCUACGGGAGGCAGCAGUGGGGAAUAUUGGGCAAUGGGCGCAAGCCUGAUCCAGCCAUACCGCGUGGGUGAAGAAGGCCUUCGGGUUGUAAAGCCCUUUUGUUGGGAAAGAAAAGCAGCAGGUUAAUACCCCGCUGUUCUGACGGUACCCAAAGAAUAAGCACCGGCUAACUUCGUG